UACGUAGGGGGCGAGCGUUGUCCGAAGUUACUGGGCGUAAAGCGCGCGUAGGCGGUUAUUCAAGUCUGGGGUGAAAGGUUCAGCGCUCAACGUGAACAGUGCCUUGGAUACUGGAUGACUUGAGUCUGGGAGGGGGAAGGGGAAUUCCUGGUGUAGCGGUGAAAUGCGUAGAUAUCAGGAGGAACACCGGUGGCGAAGGCGCCUUCCUGGCCUAAGACUGACGCUGAGGUGCGAAAGCGUGGGGAGCAAACGGG
rnacentral:rRNA from 2 species